rnacentral:tRNA from 1 species
GCCAGAGUGGUGAAGUGGUAUAAGUGUUGGACUUAUGACUCUGGAGACCAGGGUUCGAUUCCCAGCUCUGCCA